AACGAACGCUGGCGGCAUGCCUAACACAUGCAAGUCGAACGAGACCUUCGGGUCUAGUGGCGCACGGGUGCGUAACGCGUUGGAACCUGCCCUUAGGUUCGGAAUAACUCCCCGAAAGGGGUGCUAAUACCGGUUAAUGUCUUCGGACCAAAGAUUUAUCGCCUUUGGAUGGGCCCGCGUUGGAUUAGCUAGUUGGUAGGGUAAAAGCCUACCAAGGCGACGAUCCAUAGCUGGUCUGAGAGGAUGAUCAGCCACACUGGGACUGAGACACGGCCCAGACUCGUACGGGAGGCAGGAGUGGGGAAUAUUGGACAAUGGGGGAAAGCCUGAUCAAGCAAUGACGGGUGAGUGAUGAAGGCAUUAGGGUUGUAAAGCUCUUUUACCCGGGAUGAUAAUGACAGUAACGGGAGAAUAAGCUCCGGCUAACUCCGUG
rnacentral:rRNA from 1 species